rnacentral:rRNA from 1 species
UUAUAGCAAUAUGAUUGAGCUAGAGCGGCGCACGGGUGAGUAACGCGUACACGACCUACCCUAUACAGGGGGAUAGCCUUGGGAAACUGAGAUUAAUACCCCAUGGUAUUGUUUGACUUCCUGGUUAGACAAUUAAAGCUGAGGCGGUAUAGGAUGGGUGUGCGUCUGAUUAGCUAGUUGGUAGUGUAACGGACUACCAAGGCGAUGAUCAGUAGGGGGCGUGAGAGCGUGACCCCCCACACGGGUACUGAGACACGGACCCGACUCCUACGGGAGGCAGCAGUAAGGAAUAUUGGUCAAUGCCCGCAAGGGUGAACCAGCCAUCCCGCGUGCAGGAAGAAGGGGCUCUGCCUUGUAAACUGCUUUUGCAUGGGACGAAAAAAGGGGAUUUAUCCUCGACUGACGGUACCAUGAGAAUAAGCACCGGCUAACUCCGUGCCAGCAGCCGCGGUAAUACGGAGGGUGCGAGCGUUAUCCGGAAUCACUGGGUUUAAAGGGUGCGUAGGCG